CGGGGUGGAUUAGUGGCGAACGGGUGAGUAACACGUGGGCAAUCUGCCCUUCACUCUGGGACAAGCCCUGGAAACGGGGUCUAAUACCGGAUAACACUCUGUCCCGCAUGGGACGGGGUUAAAAGCUCCGGCGGUGAAGGAUGAGCCCGCGGCCUAUCAGCUUGUUGGUGGGGUAAUGGCCUACCAAGGCGACGACGGGUAGCCGGCCUGAGAGGGCGACCGGCCACACUGGGACUGAGACACGGCCCAGACUCCUACGGGAGGCAGCAGUGGGGAAUAUUGCACAAUGGGCGAAAGCCUGAUGCAGCGACGCCGCGUGAGGGAUGACGGCCUUCGGGUUGUAAACCUCUUUCAGCAGGGAAGAAGCGAAAGUGACGGUACCUGCAGAAGAAGCGCCGGCUAACUACGUGCCAGCAGCCGCGGUAAUACGUAGGGCGCAAGCGUUGUCCGGAAUUAUUGGGCGUAAAGAGCUCGUAGGCGGCUUGUCACGUCGGAUGUGAAAGCCCGGGGCUUAACCCCGGGUCUGCAUUCGAUACGGGCUAGCUAGAGUGUGGUAGGGGAGAUCGGAAUUCCUGGUGUAGCGGUGAAAUGCGCAGAUAUCAGGAGGAACACCGGUGGCGAAGGCGGAUCUCUGGGCCAUUACUGACGCUG
rnacentral:rRNA from 1 species